UACGAAGGGGGCUAGCGUUGCUCGGAAUGACUGGGCGUAAAGGGCGCGUAGGCGGAUUGUACAGUCAGGCGUGAAAUUCCCGGGCUCAACCUGGGGGCUGCGCUUGAGACGUGCGAUCUUGAGUGGGGAAGAGGGUCGUGGAAUUCCCAGUGUAGAGGUGAAAUUCGUAGAUAUUGGGAAGAACACCGGUGGCGAAGGCGGCGACCUGGUCCUUGACUGACGCUCAUGCACGACAGCGUGGGGAUCAAACAGG
rnacentral:rRNA from 1 species